rnacentral:rRNA from 1 species
GCUAGACGAGUUUGAUCAUGGCUCAGGAUGAACGCUAGCGGGAGGCUUAAUACAUGCAAGUCGAGGGUAACGAGGGGCUUCGGCCCGCUGACGACCGGCGCACGGGUGAGUAACGCGUACGCAACUUACCCUCCAAGGCGGGGGCAUACGGACCCCGGGAAACGUGGGAUUUAACUACCCCAUUAGUUUGCAUUGGCUGCAUGGUCAGUGCAAUAAAGUUGAGGCGCUUGGAGAUAGGCGUGCGUCUGAUUAGGUAGUUGGUAGGGUAACGGCCUACCAAGCCGACGAUCAGUAGGGGGCGUGAGAGCGUGGCCCCCCACACGGGUACUGAGACACGGACCCGACUCCUACGGGAGGCAGUAGUAAGGAAUAUUGGACAAUGGACGAAAGUCUGAUCCAGCCAUCCCGCGUGCAGGAUGAAUGCCCUAUGGGUUGUAAACUGCUUUUGGAAGGGAAGAAACGCCUGGAUUUAUCCGGGCCUGACGGUACCUUCAGAAUAAGCACCGGCUAACUCCGUG